UAUUUUUUUUUUGUGGAUUCAAAUGACAGGUCUGAUGACUGUAGAUUGAUGGACUUCAUUGAAGUUUAAGAAGAGCAGGAGUUGGUGGUGAAGGUGGAGGAUGAGGAGGAGGAAUAAAGGUCUCUGAUGCUCGGCUCUGGAUCAACUGCUUUUUUUUAUCCUCCAUCAGUAUUUCACAGUUUGUCUUAUUUGACUUUCCAGUGAUGCCUAAAGGAGCCGUGGACAACAGAGCCAUCAGCACACCAAAAGGCGUCAACAUUGAUUUUACUUUUGACAAAGAUGUCAGCGCAAUCUUCAGUGACCGUAUAACAAGUGUUGUCGCAGAGUCCAGUGUUCUGGAUGUGCGGUCCAAUGAGCAGAAAGCUCCUGGACUCAGACAGUGGAACGUGCAGUCUCCUCUGCGCCAGAA